ACAAAAAGUUACAACUCAUUUUCUUAAACAAGUAAGAAGAAAUAAAUAAAUAAAUAAUUCAAAAUCCAAACUUGUUUUCAUCUAACACUGAAUCAGCUUCAAUCUUAAAAAUUAGUCAAGAAAUCAACCCAGAAGUUAAGCACCAUCAGUAGAAGUGAUACGAACCCCGCUAAGAACUGACGCGACCUUAAUUAAUUUAGUUUUCAAGAUCGAAUCUAAACCUAGAAUUAAAUGGAACCAUGACCCAAUGCUCAAUGAAAUCAUGAACCUUGGUAUGUGAGGAUGCCACAAUCAGCUAUAGAUGGUCGGAUUGAUAAGUCAAGAGUUUGAACGCCACAAAAAUCCUAUAAGUUCAAAGAAUUUGUUUAAGACCCAAAGAGAAUUAACUCUUUCACCAAUUGCAUCAAAACUGAUACGUCUUUAUUUAUUGGAUGCGAGUACAUUAUAUAGGGUUGGUUACAAGAAUUUUUGAAAAUAAAUCCUAAACUAAAAUCAAAUUGGAAUCCUAAUCUAAAGCAAAUAAGGAAAGAUUUUAAAUCAAAUCAGAAUAUUAAUUUAAGCAAAUAUGAAAUAAUCUAAAUCAAAUCAGAAUCAUAAUCUAAGCAAAUAGGAAAGAAUCUAAGUCAAAUCAGAAUCCUAAUCGGUUUAAAUGACUUACAUCAAUUAAAAUGAAAACUUAGCAAUUAAAAGAGAAAUAAUUGAUUUGUUUCUCCACUAGCCUCCUCAAGAAACAAGAAAGUAUCCAAAAAGGAAAGUAGUAUAUUUUCCAAAUAGGAAAUAUCUGAAAAAGGAAAAUAAAAUAUUUUCCCGCCAUAAUGUGCAAGCCAACUUCCUAUUUCAUGGAAGUGAUUAUUUGGAAACUUCAAGAGUUUGAAUCAUGCAUUUAUCAUGUGCAAUUCCUUCAAUGAGCCUCUACAAAUUUGAUUGAGCCCAAGUUGCUUGAAUUAACCAAUUAAGCACUUUUUGAAUUUCUUUGCUCGAGCUCUUGUGACUGGUCCGACGGAAACUUGAAUAGAAUCUUAAUAUAUCUCAUCUCACAUGCUUGUGACAAUUUUGUCCUCAAUCUCAUUAAGAAGCUAGAUAGUGCCAUUAGAUACAAAACUAACUAGAUUUUGUCAAUCAACAGCAGAUUUCAUGAAGUUGAUGAAAAUUGAUUGGACCAAUUAAAAGGUCAUUUACUGAAAAAUCAAAAGGGCAGUAGUUCCUUUGUAAAUAUUUGUUCAACUCAUCAUAGUUAAGAUAAUGGAAAUGAAAGUUCUAGGGUUUAAGAUAGAAGAAUUGUAUGUAUGUUAAACAUGUGUGCUAACUAUAUGGGUGUUUAAAGCAAUUAUAUUAUUAAAAUAACAUAAUAGAUUGUCCUUAGCAGUAAUAUCACAAUAUGGGUAUUUUUGUAAUAAAUUAAUUAUUAAAAUAAGAGUGUUCAACGUAAUUUUAACAACCUCACACAUAUUCAUAUUAUCCACAAAUGUUAAAAAUGAUGCUAGAAAAUUUAGGUAAGCAACUAUUAAUCUCGAAGUUGAUUCGAGCUUAGUGAGUUAAUAAUAAUAAUAAUAAUAAUAAUAAGUGACAAUUGAAAAUAAUGAAAACAAUCAACACAAUAAUGAUAUUUGACCCCUUCAAUUUAUUUCAUUAACCCCUACUUUUUAAUUUACCCCAUUCAUUUUUUAAAUUACUCUUAUUUAUCACUUCCUAAUUUUUAUAUCUCAAAACAGAAAAAAAAAAAAAACAAUUGUCUAGUUUUUUAUUGAAUAAAUUGUCAAAUAAUAAAACGUGAAUUAAAGAUAAUGAUUAAUAGAACAAACACAAUCGAAAUUAUAUAUAACUUUUGAAAGUCCAUCUAAUACCCAUCAAUAAUUUCAAGAUCUUAUAGUAAUUCGGUCCUCACAGUCUUCAUCUCCAAUUCCAGAACUUCAAGCGAGAGCUUUAUCUCUCUUUUUAAUGUCUUGAAGCGAUCAGGUUUGCCCCGUUUUCGCAUCCUAGGUUCUCCUCCACUUCUGCAUUUAGUUAAUCAAUCUCUCGAAUAGUUUCCGUCAUCUCCUUAAAUAACUAGAUAAGGAAGCUUUCUCGAUCAAUUUUGAAAUCAAUUGCAUAAAGAUGAAGCACUAGAUAAUUGUAAGCCGAUCCCCUAUAACUGCAUCUUCUUAUGGCAAAUUAAGAAGCAAAGCAUUGCAGAGGCGAUGUUAGCAAUACUAUUAAACAAAAAGGAGGUGCUACAAAGUAACAGUUAGUUUACUUAUAUCAUUAAAAAAAAAAAAAAACAAAGCCUCCAUAAUUCCAAAUACUAGGCAAUUAGAAUUCAUAACAUGCAUUUCACUAAUAAAUGCUAAGGUGGGCACAUGCAAGUUUGUCCAAGUUCUUAUUUGGUGAAAUAGUUCAUUUUUUUCCCCAGCUAUUUUCAGAUUAAUACAGUGGGAUUUUGGCGGGUCAUUUUCAACAUCCAGCAACAGCAACAACGGAAUAAAACAAUAUAGGAAGCUAUUGAAAAUUCAGAUUCAUCCAAAUAUUAUUAAAAUUAUAUAUGACAAUCAAAGUCUUUCUGUUUUCAUCGAAUUUUCUCCAGGAUCCAGUUCACACUUAGUUUGGAUACUCUAGUGAUUAUUACCAGAUCUAGCUAAAAUUCCAAUUUAAACGAAUAAAUUUAUAUUUAAGGGAAGUUUGGCUAAUAAGGGUUUAAUUUAUAUUUUUCUGAUGUUUAAGACAGGUGGUAUAGCUGAGGUUACUAUAUAGAGAGCCCGACGUAAAAUUUGAAAGUUAAUUUACAACGUUGAUAUGGAGAGCUGAAGCAAGCUCGCGGCAGCUUAGAUGAGCUCGAGGGAUACUCAACAUAGUAAGGGUAGCUUAGGUGAUUGAUAAGCGAAUAUUUUCCAUAUAUUUUGCUAUUAAUUUCUCCAUCUUUUUCUUGUUUUGGGUCUUAAAU
rnacentral:lncRNA from 1 species